CCAAUAGCGUAUAUUAAAGUUGUUGCAGUUAAAAAGCUCGUAGUUGAAUUUCGGGGUCAGCGGGUCGGUCGUGCCACAGGUAUGUACUGAUCUUGCUGAUUCCUCCCUCUUGACGAACCGUAAUGCCAUUAAUUUGGUGUUGCGGGGAAUCAGGACUGUUACUUUGAAAAAAUUAGAGUGUUUAAAGCAGGCGUUCGCUUGAAUACAUUAGCAUGGAAUAAUGAAAUAGGACGUUUGAUCCUAUUUUGUUGGUUUCUAGGAUUGACGUAAUGAUUAAUAGGGAUAGUUGGGGGCAUUAGUAUUCAAUUGUCAGAGGUGAAAUUCUUGGAUUUAUUGAAGACUAACUACUGCGAAAGCAUUUGCCAAGGAUGUUUUCAUUAAUCAAGAACGAAAGUUAGGGGAUCGAAGACGAUCAGAUACCGUCGUAGUCUUAACCAUAAACUAUGCCGACUAGGGAUCGGAUGAUGUUAAUUUUUUAAUGACUCAUUCGGCGCCUUAC
rnacentral:rRNA from 1 species